UUCCCACACCGGGAAUUGAUAUUGAACCCGGGCCUCCUGGGUGAGAGCCAGGUAUCCUAACCACUAGACCAUGUGGGA